CAGAUUGACAGCAGGACAAAUCGCUGGAAGUAGGUAUGUCUCAAGCUUCUUCCACUUGGUCCACUCCAAAGCGGGGUGCAAAGGGGAAGAAGUGGAAGCAGUUGAAUGACACAUGUUGCAUUUUGUAACUGGCAACAAAGUACCAGGUAAAAAAGAUUGUGAAGCCUGCCUCCAUAAAGAACUAGUAGCUCUACAGGACAGAGAUUGGCUUGCCAUCAAGUACUACAUCCAUAACAGAAUUAUAUUAAAAAAAGGGAAAAAAAAUGUUUUCCCACAUCUUCUGUGGUAGUUUGAGUAUGUUACCAGCAAUUAAAAAAGCAAAAUAAACA